GUCUAUGGCCAUACCACCCUGCACACGCCCGAUCUCGUCUGAUCUCGGAAGCUAAGCAGGGUCGGGCCUGGUUAGUACUUGGAUGGGAGAAAAAGGAGACAUUACCA
rnacentral:rRNA from 1 species